rnacentral:rRNA from 1 species
CAGUCGCCGCGGGAAUACGAAGGGUGCAAGCGUUACUCGGAAUUACUGGGCGUAAAGCGUGCGUAGGUGGUGGUUUAAGUCCGAUGUGAAAGCCCUGGGCUCAACCUGGGAAUUGCAGUGGAUACUGGGUCACUAGAGUGUGGUAGAGGAUAGUGGAAUUUCCGGUGUAGCAGUGAAAUGCGUAGAGAUCGGAAGGAACAUCUGUGGCGAAGGCGGCCCCCUGGACAAAGACUGACGCUCAGGUGCGAAAGCGUGGGGAGCAAACAGGAUUAGAUACCCGUGUAGUCCCUGUCUCUUAUAC